rnacentral:rRNA from 1 species
UACGUAGGGCGCAAGCGUUGUCCAGAAUUAUUGGGCGUAAAGAGCUCGUAGGCGGUUUGUCGCGUCUGCUGUGAAAACCUAAGGCUCAACCUUGGGCUUGCAGUGGGUACGGGCAGACUAGAGUGCGGUAGGGGUGACUGGAAUUCCUGGUGUAGCGGUGGAAUGCGCAGAUAUCAGGAGGAACACCGGUGGCGAAGGCGGCAUCCUGGACCGGCAUUGACGCUGAGGCGCGAAAGCCAGGGGAGCAAACGGG